CCUACGGGAGGCAGCAGCAAGGAAUUUUCGGCAAUGGGCGCAAGCCUGACCGAGCAACGCCGCGUGGAGGAUGACGGCCUUCGGGUUGUAAACUCCUUUUCCAGGGGAUGAUGAUGACCGUACCCUGGGAAUCAGGCUCGGCUAACUCUGUGCCAGCAGCCGCGGUAAGACAGAGGAGCCAAGCGUUGUCCGGAUUGACUGGGCGUAAAGCGCACGCAGGCGGUGGGGCACGUGGGGUGUGAAAGCGGCCCGCUUAACGGGGCGAGGCCAUCCCAUACGGCCCGACUCGAGAGUGGCAGAGGUUCGUGGAAUUGCCGGUGUAGUGGUGAAAUGCGUAGAGAUCGGCAGGAACACCAAGGGGGAAACCAGCGAACUGGGCCAUAUCUGACGCUCAGGUGCGAAAGCGUGGGGAGCGAACCGGAUUAGAUACCCGGGUAGUCCACGCCGUAAACGAUGAAUACUCGGCAUCUGGUGGCCGAUCUUCGGCGGCCGGGUGCCCCAGCUAACGCGGUAAGUAUUCCGCCUGGGAACUACGAGCGCAAGCUUAAAACUCAAAUGAAUUGACGG
rnacentral:rRNA from 1 species